rnacentral:sRNA from 1 species
CGAAAAACCGGCGAAGAAGAGCGCCGGCGAGAAGACCAAUGCCACUACUUACCGGAACAAUCCGGCCGGGUGACGCAAAGCGUCGUUUCAACAGACCCGCGGCACUGGUAAAAAGUUUCAUUCGGUGUUGUCAAUGUCGAUGGAUUCUAGCAGCCUCAAAUGAUCCGUCAAUGCUGAGAAAUGUAAAACCUAUUACUUCUGGUUA